UGGGGAAUAUUGGACAAUGGGGGCAACCCUGAUCCAGCGACGCCGCGUGGGUGAAGAAGGCCUGCGGGUUGUAAAGCCCUUUCGGUUGGGAAGAAAAGCUGUGACCUAACACGUCGCGGCCUUGACGUAACCAACUAAAGAAGCACCGGCUAACUCUGUGCCAGCAGCCGCGGUAAUACAGAGGGUGCGAGCGUUAAUCGGAAUUACUGGGCGUAAAGCGCGCGUAGGCGGCUUUGCAAGCCGGAUGUGAAAUCCCCGGGCUUAACCUGGGAACUGCAUUCGGGACUGCAUUGCUAGAGUAUGGGAGAGGGAAGUGGAAUUUCAGGUGUAGCGGUGAAAUGCGUAGAUAUCUGAAGGACAUCAGUGGCGAAAGCGACUUCCUGGACCAAUACUGACGCUCAUGUGCGAAAGCGUGGGGAGCAAACAGGAUUAGAUACCCUGGUAGUCCACGCCAUAAACGAUGAGAACUGGAUGUCGGGAGGGUCUGCCUCUCGG
rnacentral:rRNA from 1 species